CAAUGUAGGCUAUGUGUUACAGCACUACUUUUGGUGUCCCCCUCAGGAAUUGCUCUUGAGAAAAUUUAAUGUAAUUGUCCCCUCCAAAGUUGAUAUCAGAUUUUCGCCCCUGUUAGUGAUAGUCGGCCGUUUUAAGAGUAAAAGUAUCUGGAUUAGGCUAUAAAUGGAGUUCCGGAUAAGCCCGGUUCCUGUGUGUUCUUGACCUACCAGCAAGUACACACCAUACCGGGAAAGAAUAUGCGUUAGUGUAAAAUGGGGUGCUUGGAAAUGUUGUUCAGGCUAUUUUGGUGGAAUGUCAAAAGCACUAGUAUGGAUAUACCAGAGUGCAGAAUAACGGAUUAGUUUACAAAUGCUUGAAGUCUGAUUGAAUAUUGCCGGUGUCAGUAAACGUCAGGGAAGAAACAUAAUUACAAUUAUUGCAAGCAGCACAGUCAAACGUUAGCUUGGGUGCUUGACUGCCAGGUGGGAAUAAUAGUAGGAAGUAAUGAUUCAGAAAGUUUGGUUCAACUCUGUUCAUUACAACAUAUUUGGGGUUUUGAGAACCAUGUGACGUAUUGACUAACAAGAUGAUAAGACAACAUCAACUUUUUGAAGGUUCUACAGUGGUUAACCAAUGGUUUUGUAUUAUACUAAACUAAUGACACAGGUUAAAAUGAUAAGAUUACUGGAAAGGGCCUCUGGGAUUUAAUUUGGAUGGACCUUUUUCAAUUCAGUUUUAAACUGGGUAUACAGGAAGAUGGAAAUGUUUUGAAAUGUAUCCAAAUGGGUUCUGAAGGACAGGGACAGAGAAGGGAGAGGAAACAAUUAAUGGUGUCAAAUGCCCUGAAUCCUAAACAUUUCCCGUGAAGACUGAUCAACUUCACUAGAAAUUAUUGGAACAGGUGGGAUUUAAAUAUAAAAUGACUAAGAAACACCAGUCUCUAUUCAGAGUGUACAAUUACUUUGAAAUUCUAUUAUUUCCAUAUAAAAAUGAUGAAGAGUUGUAAUCUUAAAUUGACUAGUUACUCAAAUAAUUGUAUUUUUUGAUUUAACAUGUUAUUGAAUCAUGUGUUCAGAGGGAAAAUGAUCAGUUCCAUGGGGUUAUGGUUUUUGGGUAAAUAUACACAUGUGCUUUGUUCAGUCUGCAUAUAGAAAGGAAAUAUCUGUUAACAAGGGAUGACAGUUACUCCAAAUGGAUUAUGAUAUAAGUAUAGAUGAUUUCAUUGUGUGUUUUUGUUUCAAUACAAAAUUUGCAACAUUGGGAUAUUGAAGUUUGCGAGAGAUUAUGUUGUUAAAUUAUCUGUAACUCGUCUGAGAGAUCACCAGUAGAAUAAGGGAGUUAUCAUGGAAGGUGAUGUCAGAAUGCUUUAAUGCAUGGGAGAGAUAUUUUUACAACAAGUGUGUGUGAAGCUCUAACUCUCCCUAACCAGCGGAAGAGUGAGGGACAACUGCGUCUGAUGACCUGUGAACUGUAUCUGAAAUAGACAUGCUGGAAUGAUAUGUGCUGGAGGAGGAAGACUAAAGGGGAAUAGGUUACUGACCUUUCAUUACCAGGCCUCUCGUGACAGAAAACCAGAGGCAAAGGGGGGCUGUAAUAAGAAUAGAUAUUACUGGUACUACAAGUUUAGUAUAAAUGUACAUUUUUAAGGGGAUGAAGCACUAAGGACUGAAUUCUGAAUUUGGGUUGGACAAUUUAUAAAACGUUUUAGUUAUGAUUUGGACAUAGAACUGUUUAAAUUUACUAGGCCUAGGGAAGCUCUGGAGACUAAAUCCUGAGACAGGGAGGUUGACAGAACUUACAGAAGAUUAUAUUAAAGGUAUUUGUUUCUUUUGUUUUAUCAUCUCAUUAGAAUUCUAAUGUUAAAUUAUAUUGAUAUAAUUAAUUGCAUAAAAGGUUUAUGGUCUGUUUUGCGAUAACACACAAGGAUGAAGGAGGAGACCAACAUAACAUGGGCAUAGAACGUAACGGAUGGACGUUUUCUCCCAGGUUUAGUUACAUUAUGAGUAGUGGUCAUAGAACGUAACGGAUGGACGUUUUCUCCAGGUUUAGUUACAUUAUGAGUAGUGGUCAUAGAACGUAACGGAUGGACGUUUUCUCCAGGUUUAGUUACAUUAUGAGUAGUGGUCAUAGAACGUAACGGAUGGACGUUUUCUCCAGGUUUAGUUACAUUAUGAGUAGUGGUCACUUAUUACAAAUAUGCAGUUAUUGUAAUUUAUUUUUCCCCUUUUCUUGUCUGGUCAAUUUACUUUUUGUUUUAAGGAACAUAAGUGUGUUUAUUGUUCCUGAGGAGGGAAUGAUAUAAAUUGACUAAAAUUGAUUUGAGAAUGUUUUGGUAUGUAUCAAACGGUGGAAGGAAAUUAGAAGUAGGAAAUGAUGUGUUAUGGGUUAAAAGUUAGAAGAACUGUGACUGCAUUGGGGAUCUGAGGGGGCUCAUAAAUGAAGGUUAUGGUAGUAGAGGGGUGUUAUUUCUAGAGACUAUGGAUAUUAAUAGAAGAGAGAACUCACAGAAGAGAAAGGACAGCUGGCUGUGUAAAAUAUAGGGACAAUUCUAAGUAAAUUGAACAUUACACAUACCUAGAUUAAGGUAAGAGUAAAAGUGAUAGUGGUGACAUUUAACACUAUGGUAAAAGUUUAAGAGUUAUGAUUUGGAGUUAAGAGGUUGGAUAUUCUUCCAACUGGAAGACACUUGACUGAUUACAUGUUAUUCUAACAGCAGUUGCUGUAGGGACCAUAAUGUGACUAUCAUUAUGUAUAAGUAUAUCUGUGGCAGGAGGCCAGGUAUUUGAGACAGAAUGUUUACAUAGGGCUGUUAUUUAAAUAUUACAAAGUAGUGAUCUUGACAUAAGAGGAAAGUCUGUCAGGAAAUAACCCAUGUGUUAGUGUGUAUGUCCUCAGGAGAAAAGCAGCACAUAAGAAGCCAGAAAUAACCAAGGGCAUGGGCUGACUUCUAGAGAUUGAGUGUACAUCAAGAUACACCAGGCUGGGGGUAUACUUCUUACAGCACCUGCAGUGGUAAAGAUCAUCAUGUCUCUCUUCGGUGGGCGCAUAAUUCUCACAAGAAGUAAGGUCCAGCUGAAUAAUGGGUGAGCUUGAAAGCACCAUGACAGAGGACGCGGAGAGAGAGAGACUAGAUUCCACUGUAGACAUACAGUUGUUGGGUUUGGGAGCUACUUAUUUUAUUGGUUAAUGCAUUAUAUGAAAAAGGACAGAUGUUAGGGUAAUUGUGCUCUAAACAACAUGUUGACGGCAAUAAUGCGAAAGCAUAUACAGUGUUGAAUUAAGAAGAUAAGAUAUAAUGUUGAUUAGGGAUAUGCCUAUCGGGUGAAAUGGAGCAGAUGGAAAACAAAGUGAAAAUGACAUGAUUUGGGAACACCUCUCAGAUCCUGGGGCCGAAAGGGGAAGACUGGGUGGAAGCAUGAGGAAGCUUUUUAGUGCUUUUAUUUUUGUGGAACCCAGCAGGAAAGUAUCCUGGAGGCAUAGAGUCAGGUGAAGAGAGAGCGGGAAUUGUCAUGGUCUCAGAUUUCGGUUUCCAUUAAUAUAUUUAUGCAUGACAUAUCACAUUGAUAAUGCUGUUGUGUUUUUGUUUUUCACUUUCCAAGUCUUAUGCUUAGGAACCAGAAGGAGAGGGGUCGCCAGCUUCAGCUGGAAUGUUAGUUGGUGUAUGAUGAGUGAUGGAAAUAAGUGGAUGUAUGGUGUGAUCAUAAAACAGAGGCCAUAAGUCUCUAAGUUUGAAUGCCUCACAGAAAGAAGGCAGAAACCUGAACCAGGACCAGAGGUUCCACGUCUGGUGAUCCAAGAGACCUGGUCCGAGUGUUCCGGAAGAAUGGAAUGAGCCAAGGAGGGAAGGUCCCUACAAGGUGGCUCGAACAAUGUUAACUGCUGUCCGGGUGAAAGGAAGCAACACGUGGUACCAUCUAAACCACUGUACCAAAGUCCCGUCGGAAAGGAGGGGACAACCACCAGGCCAUGAAGGAGCAGAGGAGAUCAAGGAGCCAGGCAGGAGACAGGCAGGAGCCAGGCAGGAGCCAGGCAGGAGACGAAGAGGAGGUGGAUCGAGGAGCAACUUUCAACAGCCAACAGACACUCUCCUGAAUAUCCAGAGAGUCCAGGGAUGGGGAGGAGUGACAUGCCUGUUGCUCCUGAUGACAUACCUACUCUGGCAGAUACCCCUGAUAGAGGUGUUGUUCAAGGGGACGGAGAAACAACGACAGGAGGAUGGAAAGGAGACUUUCUUAUCAACUUCUCUGUCCUCACCAUGGUCUUUUUAACAGACAGUGAAACAGGAUGGAUGAAGAAUGGUAGAAUGGUCUUGACAGCAACAGCAACAAACCUAGAAGAAAUUGUAAAAUGACCUCCCAAUAGAGACUAGUACACCAACUAAACAAUAGAAAAACCAUAAGAAAGUGGGUUGCUGCAGAAAAUCUGGACAUCUGUUACCAACUGGGGUAGCUACAAUGAAGAAACUACCCAAGAAUCAAACAUUGAUAAAAAAUGUAGAAAAGCAAUAACAAAUGGCUUGUGUAGGUGGGCUCAGUAAGAAGCAACUAAACAUAGGAUGGACAAUUGCAUUUUGUCUAGCAAAUCACAUUCGUCUAAUAUUUUAAUAGUACCUGAACUUGCAUCUGUUGAAGAAUGUGUUAAAUGGAAAAUGUUCAAUGUAUUCAGAGUCAAUACUACAUACCUUUGUGUAACAUAGAAUGCAGAUUGGCAUUAGGUAGCACUAAAGGUAGAAGUGAAUUAAACCAAAAUAUGUUGGGAGAACAUGAAUGUGCAACAUAUGACAUGAGAACUGAAUUAAAUGGUCCUCAUAAUGAUAGGUUUACUAUUGUAAAAAGUAGAUCAUGUUUCUACAGCUAUGGAGAUAAUGGGAUAGAUGUGAGAAACACUACAGUUAAUUGUUAAACUAUUUGGGUGUUAGAAACUGCAGGAGUUAGUAAAUUUGAUGAUAAAGGAAUGAUUAUGGAUCACAAAGGUACAUGUGGUAAUAUAACUCAAGUAGCAUUAUCUCUUGCAAUAUUAAAGAAUCAGGAUAGAGGUAUAGCUGAUAGUUUCGGGAUGUGUGGGCAGAACAAACUCUUGAAUGUUUUACCAGAAGGCUGGACUGUGCCUUGGUUAGAACGAUACAAAGGUGUCUAUCAUUAAAUCACAGCAGGAUGAGUCUGUAAAGCAUAGAGUAAGGGAAGCCUAUGAAUCAGAUCCCAUAGUACAUCUAGAUGCGAUUGGACAGGUGAGAGGAGUUCCUGAUGAAUACAAACCAAGAGAUGAGGUUAAAUCAGGGUUUGAGUCAAUAUUUCUUUGGAUAACACCUAAUAAUAACAAAUGUACUAGAUGGAACUUUCCUUUAGCUAUGACCAAACUGAAGGGAUUGUGACAAGAGGUUAAGGACAAUGAACCCAUGGUUGGGACAGGUUGGAAUUAGCUUUAAGUAAAUGGGGUUACUCCAGGAGGAGGACAUGAUAGCAAUGAUUGUGUUCAAGGGUUUCCUGUUUUAGUAAAGCACCUGAUUAUAAUGUGCUUGAUUGAAAACUGGACUGAUGCAGUAUGUAUAACCUGGUAAUCAUUUACUAUGGAGUGUAUUGUCUAUUUCCUUUCUACCUUUGACAAGGGAUAAAUUAAGUUAGAACUUCUGAAUUUUGUUUACUUAGACUUGUGGGUAAAAUGGUGAAAUUCCGGUUACAAGUGUCCAUGGACCAUGUCCUUAGUCCUUUAGCAGGUGUUUUCAUUUGUGAUUCCACUGUUGUUACAGAGGUGUCUGUAAGGAAGGAUCUUGUUUAAGUGUCGAAUUUAGAAUGACUUUAUAAGGGUUUUCUUAUUUUCUUUAUGUUUUAAAUAACUGAGAUAACCUCAGGGAAGGCUAUGUGUGGUUUGUGUGUUUUGUGUGAGACUGUUUAGUCUCAAAGGGGGGUUUGUGUGGGAGCAAAACUCAUGACUCUGAUUCCAUUUCCAUUAUUAGCAGCAUUUAGGCUGUCCACUUUGAAGAGCUUAAACAGAAUGGCUAUAUAAGGAAUGGAACAUAUAGGACCAGGCCCUGCUAGCAUUAUAACCUAUACAGCUGUCAGAUGUGGGCGUUAUCAAGCAACAACUGAUAUGGAGAGAUAAUGGUAAAGAACGGUCAAGGGAAGCUAUUUUCAUAUAGAGGGAGGGGACUCUAUACGUUAAGCAAAGACAGAAUCCUAUAAAGAUAGGACUCUGUAAUAUGAGAAUUUAGUCUUUUUAGUGGAAGGGUUCGGCUUUGCUACUCUGUAUUAAAGUCUAUAUUGAAUUCAAA